UUGAAUGUCUAAGUACAGAUAUCUUGGUAUUUUAAUUGAUAAAUCACUUUCUUUUACCCUUCAUAUUCAGCAGCUAGCAAAAAGAUUAAAACUUAAACUAGGAUUUUAUUUCAGAAUCAAAUCCUGCCUUUAGUUUGAAUCUAGAAAGAGGCUGGUCGCUGCCACGUUUAUGUCUGUACUUGACUAUGGUGAUGUUUUAUAUAGGGAUGCACCGAAGCAUCGGCUGAACAUCGGUAACGGGCGAUAUUUGCCUCGUUAACUGCCAUCGGCGAAUAAAAAUGACAUUCGCCGAUGAUUAUAUGUGUCAUGAACGCUGUGCUCGGGAGAAACUUUUUUUCCCUCUUUUUAUUUGGGCGGGGGGAGAGACCGAGACGGAAGAGGGCACCCGCGCACUCUCCUCAGUAACUUAGAUUAAACAAAGAAGAUGGCGGUCGUGUGGCAAUAUUUUACAGUUUCAGAGAAAGAUCAGCGUUUUGCAGUUUGCAAUACGUGUUCCAUUGAAAUUUCAAGAGGGGGUGCUGUUAGAAAGUCAUUUAACACAACAAAUCUCACUGGACAUUUGAGAAGCAGGCAGGAGGCGGUGUACGGCGAUUACCUGCAAGCUGACCAAAAACGGAAAAAUGAAGCCGCCAAGAAAGCGCAAACCGCCGGUAAGACUCAGACUUCAACUGACACGGCGUUUGAGGAAGCCAAACAGCUGCCUCCAGACAGCGCCAAAGAGAAACAAAUAAACAAAGUGAUGGAGUUCAUGGCUUUAGAUGACCAGCCUUUCUCUGUAGUGGAGGACGUGGGUUUUCGGAGUCUGAUGAAGUUUAUGGAGCCACGCUACACGCUGCCGAGCCGGCGUCACUUUGCCGAGGUCUGUCUCCCCGAAAUCCACAACAUCCCUAUUUAUGUUUGUAUUUAUGAAUAACAUAAUUUAUUUAUUUUAAUAACAAUUUAUUUCACUUGUUUUUGCAUUUACACUUGAUGUAUUUUUUUUUUAUUUAUCAGAAAAAUAUUUUUUAUUGGGCCAUGAAAAUAAUCUCAUUGAGUAAGUUUUUGUUUAUCAGGCUAAAACCACUCAAAUAAUUUUGUUGGGCAAUGUACUGAAACAAUCUUUUCAUUGAUUAGUUAGCAGUCAAAGGUUUUUGAAUGUUAUUUUUCAGAAAAGAACUUGUCAUAAAUAAGGUUAUAACUAAUGUCAACCAGAAAGUGACAUUAAAGGUUGUUUUUGUUUCAUAAAUUGGUCUGAUUGAAUUUGUGCUCAUUCUAGGAUAGUGUGAUCAACAGCCGAAAGACUUGUAUGUUUCCGUGGCACAAAAGAAGGAAUAAAUAACAAAAAGAAAAAACAUCGGCAUCGGCCAUCGCCCAAGUUGUUAUGUUAAACAUCGGUAUCAGUCCAGAAUUUCCCAAUCGGUGCAUCCCUAGUUUUAUACAUGCAUGCUUCAUCUCAAAGUUUCCAUGCUGUGGACACUGUAUACCACGGAUCUCUGAGGUUCAUCACUGGUAUGAAAGACCUCACUCAUCAUUGUGAACUGUAUGGUUAAAUAAAGGUAACAACAAACCCACAAACAGCGUCUUGACUCACGCUAUCUGUUCCCUCUCUCCACUCUAACAACAGCUUGACUUUAGAAAAUGUUCAGGAGGAGGCAGUGUGAAUGCGUUGGUGGGUUUUAAGGCUACUACUCCGAGAAAACAUUUUCCCACAUUGUUCACACCAGAACGGCUUCUCUCCAGUGUGAACACGUUGGUGGACCUUUAAGUGAGAUAACCGUGUGAAAGCUGCCCCACAUUGGUCACAGCUGUACGGUUUAUCUCCAGUGUGAAUGCGUUGGUGGACUUUAAGAUUACUCGACGUUGUGAAUGCUGCCCCGCAUUGUUCACAGCUGUACGGUUUAUCUCCAGUGUGAAUGAGUUGGUGGGCUUUGAGGGCAUCACUACGAGAAAAAGUUUUCCCACAUUGUUCACACCA